GGUCAAGCUACAAAGGGCGCAUGGUGAAUGCCUUGGUAUCAGGAGCCGAUGAAGGACGUGAUAAGCUGCGAUAAGCUUCGGGUAGGCGCACAUAGCCUGAGAUCCGAAGAUCUCCGAAUGAGGAAACUCACAUGGGAAACCCCAUGUAUCAUUAAGUGAAUACAUAGCUUAAUGAAGGUAACCCAGGGAACUGAAACAUCUAAGUACCUGGAGGAAGAGAAAGAAAAAUCGAUUUUCUUAGUAGCGGCGAGCGAAAGGGAAAAAGCCCAAACCGGAAACUUGUUUCCGGGGUUGUGGACAGAACAUAACGAUUGGUAGGACGUAAUCGAAGAGAACUGGAAAGUUCCACCGUAGAAGGUAAUAGUCCUGUAGAUGAAACGGGAAAUCAAUCAGUUCUGAUCCAGAGUACCACGAGACACGUGAAACCUUGUGGGAAGCAGGGAGGACCACCUCCCAAGGCUAAAUACUACCUGAUGACCGAUAGUGAAGCAGUACCGUGAGGGAAAGGUGAAAAGAACCCCGGGAGGGGAGUGAAAUAGAACCUGAAACCGUGUGCCUACAACCGCUCAGAGCCCCUUAUGAGGGUGAUGAGGUGCUUUUUGUAGAACGAGCCAACGAGUUACGGUAUGUAGCAAGGUUAAGUACUUAAGGUACGGAGCCGAAGGGAAACCGAGUCUGAAUAGGGCGACUAGUUGCAUGCCGUAGACCCGAAACCGGGUGACCUAUCCAUGGCCAGGUUGAAGCGAGGGUAAAACCUCGUGGAGGACCGAACCACGUUGCUGUUGAAAAAGCAUGGGAUGAGCUGUGGAUAGCGGAGAAAUUCCAAUCGAACCCGGAGAUAGCUGGUUCUCUCCGAAAUAGCUUUAGGGCUAGCGUCGAGUAUGAGUAGUGGAGGUAGAGCACUGAAUGGGCUAGGGGGCAUAGCGCUUACCGAACCUUAUCAAACUCCGAAUGCCACAUACUUUGAGCUCGGCAGUCAGACUACGAAUGAUAAGAUCCGUGGUCAAAAGGGAAACAGCCCAGAUCGUCAGCUAAGGUCCCAAAGUGUAAGUUAAGUGGGAAAGGAUGUGAGAUUUCUAAGACAACUAGGAUGUUGGCUUAGAAGCAGCCAUUCAUUAAAAGAGUGCGUAAUAGCUCACUAGUCGAGAGAUCUUGCGCCGAAAAUGUAACGGGGCUAAACUUACCACCGAAGCUACGGGCUUGAACUUAGUUCAAGCGGUAGGAGAGCGUCGUAACCGGGCUGAAGUCGUACCGUAAGGAGCGGUGGACUGGUUACGAGUGAGAAUGUUGGCAUCAGUAGCGAGAUGUGGGUGAGAAUCCCACAGGCCGAAAACCUAAGGUUUCCUCAGGAAGGUUCGUCCGCUGAGGGUUAGUCGGGACCUAAGCCGAGGCCGAAAGGCGUAGGUGAUGGACAACUGGUUGAUAUUCCAGUACCACUACCAUCGUUAUUAUCGAUGGCGUGACGCAGGAGGAUAGUGUGUGCUAGCUAUUGGAUGCUAGUCUAAGCGUUUAGGCAGUGAGAGUAGGCAAAUCCGCUCUCAUAAUGCUGAGGCGUGAUGGGGAAGGUUCUACGGAACCGAAGUACAUGAUUCCACGCUGCCAAGAAAAGCGUCUAGAGAGAGAAGUAGUGCCCGUACCGCAAACCGACACAGGUAGGUGAGGAGAGAAUCCUAAGGCCGGCGGAAGAAUUACAGUUAAGGAACUCGGCAAAUUGACCCCGUAAGUUCGCGAGAAGGGGUGCCUACGAGAGUAGGCCGCAGAGAAUAGGCCCAAGCAACUGUUUAGCAAAAACACAGGUCUCUGCUAAAGCGUAAGCUGAUGUAUAGGGGCUGACGCCUGCCCGGUGCUGGAAGGUUAAGGGGAACACUUAGCGUAAGCGAAGGUGUGAACUUAAGCCCCAGUAAACGGCGGCCGUAACUAUAACGGUCCUAAGGUAGCGAAAUUCCUUGUCAGGUAAGUUCUGACCCGCACGAAUGGCGUAAUGACUUGGGCACUGUCUCAACUGUAAAUCCGGCGAAGUUGUAGUGCGAGUGAAGAUGCUCGCUACCCGCGAUUGGACGGAAAGACCCCGUAGAGCUUUACUGUAGCUUAGCAUUGAGUUUUGGUAUUGUCUGUACAGGAUAGGUGGGAGACUAGGAAACCAGGGCGUCAGCCUUGGUGGAGUCAACCUUGGGAUACCACCCUGACAGUACUGAAAUUCUAACUGGCGGCCAUGAAUCUGGUCACAGGACAUUGUUAGGUGGGCAGUUUGACUGGGGCGGUCGCCUCCUAAAAAGUAACGGAGGCGCCCAAAGGUUCCCUCAGAACGGUCGGAAAUCGUUCGAAGAGUGCAAAGGCAGAAGGGAGCCUGACUGCGACACCCACAAGUGGAGCAGGGACGAAAGUCGGGCUUAGUGAUCCGGUGGUACCUCGUGGGAGGGCCAUCGCUCAACGGAUAAAAGCUACCUCGGGGAUAACAGGCUGAUCUCCCCCAAGAGUCCACAUCGACGGGGAGGUUUGGCACCUCGAUGUCGGCUCGUCGCAUCCUGGGGCUGAAGUAGGUCCCAAGGGUUGGGCUGUUCGCCCAUUAAAGCGGCACGCGAGCUGGGUUCAGAACGUCGUGAGACAGUUCGGUCCCUAUCCGUCGCGGGCGUAGGAAAUUUGAGAGGAGCUGUCCUUAGUACGAGAGGACCGGGAUGGACUGACCUCUGGUGUACCAGUUGUUCCGCCAGGAGCACAGCUGGGUAGCUAAGUCGGGAAUGGAUAAACGCUGAAAGCAUCUAAGCGUGAAGCCAACCUCAAGAUGAGAUUUCCCAUAGCAUAAGCUAGUAAGAUCCCUUGAAGAACACAAGGUUGAUAGGUCGGGGGUGUAAGCAUGGUAACAUGUUCAGCUGACCGAUACUAAUAGAUCGAGGGCUUGACCAA
rnacentral:rRNA from 1 species